CGGCUCCGCUCGCGAGGAGCCUCGGAUGGGGAGUGCUGUGGACCCCCAGGAACUCUGGAGCACCCUCCCGCCCCCAAGCCAAGUCCUCCUUAGCGAACAACCGGGGCCGAGUUCCAAGAUAUCACCGGUGCUGAGGGGACCGAGAUGAGAUCCUUGGAUCCCCCAAAAGAGAACACCAGCUCUGGAAUCACCAGGCCCUGGCUCAGCUCUCCACCCUGUAAUGAAAUGGCCAGCUAUCUGGGACAUUACUCUCUCCAGCUCUUCCAUCUCUUCUGCUUC
rnacentral:lncRNA from 1 species